ACUUGAAGCUAUACCACCAAUACCUACAAGCCCAUUAGAAUUUACAAGUUGAGUAGCUUUGAGUUAGGUCAAUGCUAGGAUGGGAGACCUCCAAAGAAAAUCCAGAUGCCUCAGAGUU
rnacentral:rRNA from 1 species